AGUGAACGCUGGCGGUAGGCCUAACACAUGCAAGUCGAACGGCAGCACAGUAAGAGCUUGCUCUUACGGGUGGCGAGUGGCGGACGGGUGAGGAAUACAUCGGAAUCUACUUUUUCGUGGGGGCUAACGUAGGGAAACUUACGCUAAUACCGCAUACGACCUACGGGUGAAAGCAGGGGAUCUUCGGACCUUGCGCGAUUGAAUGAGCCGAUGUCGGAUUAGCUAGUUGGCGGGGUAAAGGCCCACCAAGGCGACGAUCCGUAGCUGGUCUGAGAGGAUGAUCAGCCACACUGGAACUGAGACACGGUCCAGACUCCUACGGGAGGCAGCAGUGGGGAAUAUUGGACAAUGGGCGCAAGCCUGAUCCAGCCAUACCGCGUGGGUGAAGAAGGCCUUCGGGUUGUAAAGCCCUUUUGUUGGGAAAGAAAAGCAGCAGGUUAAUACCCCGCUGUUCUGACGUUACCCAAAGAAUAAGCACCGGCUAACUUCGUG
rnacentral:rRNA from 1 species